rnacentral:tRNA from 1 species
GCUGCUGUAGCUCAGUCGGUAGAGCACAUCCUUGGUAAGGAUGAGGUCACGAGUUCGAUUCUCGUUGGCAGCU